UUUAAUUUUUUUAAGUUAGCAGCGCUAACUGUAAAUUAUCAAAAACAAGUUAAAAAGUAUCUUUCCAUUUAAUGAAGAAACAAAAUCGAUGUGGCGUCUGAGAUACUGUCUGACAUACUGUACUGACAUAUCGUCGUAUCUAAAUAUAUGACUUUUGGCUGCUGCCAACCCGUCAUGGGCAGGCUCAGAGAUUGAAAUAUUUGGCUUUCCUAACACUGCUAUUUAUUAUGGAAAAUUAU